UACGGAGGAUGCAAGCGUUAUCCGGAUUUAUUAGGUUUAAAGGGUGUGUAGGCGGGAUAUCAAGUCAGCGGUGAAAGCCCAAGGCUCAACUUUGGAACUGCCGUAGAUACUGGUGUCCUUGAGUCUAGUUGAAGUUGGCGGAAUGUGUCAUGUAGCGGUGAAAUGCUUAGAUAUGCCACAGAACACCGAUUGCGAAGGCAGCUAACUAAACUAUAACUGACGCUGAGGCACGAAAGCGUGGGGAG
rnacentral:rRNA from 1 species